rnacentral:lncRNA from 1 species
UUUAUGCUUUGUUUAAAAAUCAGAGUAACAUUUUAAAUAAAAGUGUUGCGGAAUUUGUCCCAAAACAAAAUAUGAUAGAGAUUUAUCAAAAGCAUUUCUGUAGAAAUGUAUUUCAUUAAAAAGACUCGGGAUGUCAUGUUCGAUACAGAUCAUAAGCAUAAACAAUACAACAUAGGCCUUACUACAUUAUUCCGUAUUUACAGGCCUAAAAUCCAUUAAUCUCUCAUCCCAAGAUAUCACAUCUAUGCUCAUGCGCCACUACCUGUAAUACAAGAAACUGAGUGGGUCAGGCUUGGGAGCCUGGUGAGCACAUAGGGUUUGCAACACACAAUAAAUAAGUUUAUUAAUUUCCUCAAUCAACAAUAACCCGAUUACCCAUUCCUAUUAUCCUCACAUUACGUCCCUAAGCAUCUAUCAUAAAGGACCUAUCCUAAGGAUUAUCAUCGGGAUGGACACUAAUGCUAAGGGGAUUCCUCAGCAAUAAAUGUCCUUAAGUCAACCAUGUGGGGGAUGGAGUACAUCUGGUGAGCACACAGUUCAAAUAAACACACAGUUCAAAUAAACACCUACAGGUUGCGAGCCUGCUAGUGUUCCACUGGACUGUCUAGAAUAGUCCGUGGUCGUCAUCUAUACUCCGCUAGAUGACUAGAUCAUCAAUAACAUCUAUAACGAGGCCUCUCAUUAUUUCAUUUUAUCACACAACAACUAAUACAUCUACCCAUGUUUUACCCCAACAUUUUCGUAGAUAUAAAAUAAAUAUACAGUUUAAAUCUUUGAAAACAUGUAUAAAAAUGUUCAUCUAGCAUAGAUAGCAAGUAUUCCGGUAAUAUGCACACAUAGCACGUAAUUCAUAUAAAAUACUUCAUAUCUAUGUGUAAGCUAAAACUAACUAUGCACUCACUUGAAAAGGUGGUGAAUCUGAACACAGACAGCGCUUUGCUUCUUAAAAAUAAUUUCCUUCGACGAAACCUAGUAUUAUUACCACUAAAAUUUAGUCUAUUAUUUGCCGAGACUAAUUAAUAGUCUAGCUAUUAUUACUAAUAUAUAAGCGUCAAACAAUACUUAUAUAGCCCAUAAUAAUAGCCCAAGUACUUAUUAUAAGUUCCUAAUAACGUUACUAUAAUUAAAUAAACGAUAUAUUAAAAAUAGCGUAAGCGUAGCUCACUUACAGCGGGUUUUAUAGAAAACCGGGCUUUGCUUGGAGCAGCGUUCCCGAGCCGAAAAGCUCUUCUUCUCGGAGCCUUCGAGCACUCCGGGGCUUCCGCCUCGUGCUAGGGAGGUUCCCUAGGCUUUUCGGGGGGUUUCGGGGCUAGAGAGAGGUUCUAGAGAGAGAGAGAGAGUAAAGAGAAGAAAGAAUGGGAAAGGUGUGAAGAAAAUGAGGGUGGGAGAGGUGCUAUUUAUAGGGUGAAAUGUGGCUGAACUUGGUGCCACAUGUCACCAUCUAGUGGCAAGACUUGGGGAGAAAGCAAUGGCCAAGAUUGUGCCACAUCACCUAUUUUCGCACAGCACACUUUCGACUUCUAAAAUUCGUAACUUUCACAUACGACCUCCGUUUUUGACAUUCUUUAUAUCCACUCGUAGGUAAAAAUAAUAUAUACAACUUUCAUUUUUACUCUGUCGGCUAAUUCUCGACCGAUCUUAAAUUUAACAGUACAAGGAGAUUAUAUUGUUAAACGUCCGCGUAAAAUUCAUAACUUCUACAUACGGACUAUGUAUUCUUCUGUCUUUUACCGUUGAGUUCCUAUUAAUGAGAUCUUCAACUCUCAUUUAGGUCGCGUAAGUCAAAAACCUCUCGAACUAAAAUUCGAGUUUCAGGUCGUGCACUGCUAAGCCGAAUCUUAGAAAAAUCAUAACUUCCUCAUACGAAGUCGGAUUUGGGCGUUCUUUUUAUGGAUGUUCUCGAUUUAACAUAUACUACAAAUUUAGUUUAGAUCACUAAGGCUAAAAAGUCCUCCAUCGUAAAUUCACUAUUUACGUCUCCCGGUGUCGUGCCGGUUUUGCCGUAAAACUUCGGCGGGCCAUAACUUCUUCGUUAUAACUCGGAUUUCGGCAUUCUUUAUAUGUACGGAAACCUUGAGACGUAUUCUACAACUUUAUGUAGAGAUAUCAGGAUUAUCUCACACUUUAAUUUUGACGCUCAUUUUUAUUCUUUAUUAAUUAUACAUUUAUAAUUAAAUAAUAAACACAUANNNNNNNNNNNNNNNNNNNNNNNNNNNNNNNNNNNNNNNNNNNNNNNNNNNNNNNNNNNNNNNNNNNNNNNNNNNNNNNNNNNNNNNNNNNNNNNNNNNNNNNNNNNNNNNNNNNNNNNNNNNNNNNNNNNNNNNNNNNNNNNNNNNNNNNNNNNNNNNNNNNNNNNNNNNNNNNNNNNNNNNNNNNNNNNNNNNNNNNNNNNNNNNNNNNNNNNNNNNNNNNNNNNNNNNUUCUUGGUAACCUUGUGACUUUCCCUGAUCCAAGUGUGAGUCAUGUGCUUCCGGUAGUAUAGGCCUCUACUACCUUUCACACCUACUCAUACUUGUCCCAAGUAUUGUCCCGUAGUUUUCCAAGUCACCAUACAAGAAAAUCACAUAGAAACUUAACACAUAAAAUAUCAAAACGAAGGUUUUAUAUUAUUCCUUGAAACGAUUACAUGGGUGUUCAAGUUCACCCUAGAUUAUGCCUCUAAUAGGCUACACCAUAUGACACUAUCUACAUGGCUUCUUCAUAACUUGAUCUCCAUGUAUCCAUCCUCACUCCUGAUUCCUUGCAUCGUCAGCUGCUUCGUCUAGGAUCAUAUGGAAUGCUCUUGCCUUUGGUUUUGGCGGAAUGUUUGGUCUUGCCGCCUCUUUCUUUUUCGGGCAAUCCUUAGCAACAUGCCCUUCUUCACGGCAUUCAUAACACACCGUUUUGCUGGCGGUGCACUCAUUGGCGUAAUGUCCAUCCUUCCCACACUUGUAGCAAGUCACUUCUUCGCUACAUUUCCCAAAGUGAUUCUUCUUGCACUUCUCACACCAUUUCACUUUGUUUCCUCCUCCGCUAAACUCCUUUGAACCAGACUUGAUCUUCUUAUUGGGCCUCGUAGACCCCUCAAACUUCCUCUUUUCGCCAACCUCAAUCUUGUUGGCAGCUCUUCCCUUAAUCAUAUCUUCCACAGACUUGGCAGCCCAGAUAGCUACCUCCAAAGUAGGUGCCUGACGCACUGGCACCGCGUACUCCCAUGGAAGUCCCUUUGCGUACUUGUCGAUUUUCUUCAGCUCAUCCUGAACAAGGCGCAAGGCGAACUCCAUCUUCUCUGUGAAGUUGUUGGUGUAUUCAUCAAUUGACAUGCUUCCUUUCUUCAAGGUCAGGAACUGGUUCUCUAGCUCGAGUAAGUUUUGAGCUGAGCAGUACUUUCGUUUAAAUUGCACCAGAAACUCUGCCCAUGCCAGUUGCAGGGGCUCAUUGGGGCUCAAAGUCUUCCCUAGGGUAUUCCACCAGCGAACAGCGCCUCCUCUGAAUUGACGUACUGCAAACGUGGUUUGUAGCUUGCCUUUGCAACCACAUGUCAUGAAGGCCAAUUCCAUCUCUGAGAUCCAAUCCAUGACCCCGAUCGGAUCUUCCUUCCCAGUGAAAGUCGAUGGCGUGCAAGUUAGAAAAUCUUUGUACUUGCAUCCGUUCCUCUCAACUCCUUCAUCAUGAUUAUUCCUCCUAAUCACCGGGGGAUCAGCUUAACCAACGGUCCCACUGUCGUUCCCUUUCUCAAACUGCCCGUCAUUCAGCUCGGGCUGUUUAAUAGGCAUCGUAAUUUCCUCUCGAGCUUGUUGAAGUAAACGCCUUGUUUCCUCCAUUUGACGAUCCAACAUCAUCUGGAUCAAUGCUUGCACUCCAGCCAUCGUGAUUGGCUUGGGUGCAACUUCUACUACGACUAGUAUUUGUUGUAUCACUGGGGGCUGAUCUCGGUUCCUAUUUGCAUUCACGUUUCUGCUACAAGUCCUUUCCAUCUUGAUCUAUACACCGAAUAAGGUGAAUCUAGAUCUUUAUUUAGGAUUGACAUUUAAAUCAUCCUUAUCACUCCGAAAUGUUUAUACGCUAGUUCUAAUAUCGUAGUUAAACGCUUAGAAUCCUAAACACAUAAGGUUUCCAGAUCCGGUCGGCAACAGACCAUAGAUCCGAACAAAUAAUAGCAUGUCAGGCACAAAGCAUUUAGCACAUAAAAGCAUUUUAGGCAUAAUUCCUAAAAUAAGCUAGUGCUCACACCUCACAAUCAUCGCUUAGCAUUCUAAGUUUAAGUCUAGAAAUCCUACAAAUUCCUAGUUCGCUUAAACUAAUGCUCUGAUACCAACUGUGACAUCCCCAAAAUCACGGCCAGAAAAGACCGUUUUGUUUAUGCUUUGUUUAAAAAUCAGAGUAACAUUUUAAAUAAAAGUGUUGCGGAAUUUGUCCCAAAACAAAAUAUGAUAAAGAUUUAUCAAAAGCAUUUCCGUAGAAAUGUAUUUCAUUAAAAAGACUCGGGAUGUCAUGUUCGAUACAGAUCAUAAGCAUAAACAAUACAACAUAGGCCUUACUACAUUAUUCCGUAUUUACAGGCCUAAAAUCCAUUAAUCUCUCAUCCCAAAACAUCACAUCUAUGCUCAUGCGCCACUACCUGUAAUACAAGAAACUGAGUGGGUCAGGCUUGGGAGCCUGGUGAGCACAUAGGGUUUUCAACCCACAAUAAAUAAGUUUAUUAAUUUCCUCAACCAACAAUAACCCGAUUACCCGUUCCCGUUAUCCUCACAUUACGUCCCUAAGCAUCUAUCAUAAGGGACCUAUCCUAAGGAUUAUCAUCGGGACGGACACUACUGCUAAGGGGAUUCCUCAGCAAUAAAUGUCCUUAAGGCAACCAUGUGGGGGAUGGAGUACAUCUGGUGAGCACACAGUUCAAAUAAACACCUACAGGUUGCGAGCCUGCUAGUGUUCCACUGGACUGUCUAGAAUAGUCUGUGGUCGUCAUCUAUACUCCGCUAGAUGACUGGAUCAUCAAUAACAUCUAUAACGAGGCCUCUCAUUAUUUCAUUUUAUCACACAGCAACUAAUACAUCUACCCAUGUUUUACCCCAACAUUUUCGUAGAUAUAAAAUAAAUAUACAGUUUAAAUCAUUGAAAACAUGUAUAAAAAUGUUCAUCCAGCAUAGAUAGCAAGUAUUCAGGUAAUAUGCACACAUAGCACGUAAUUUAUAUAAAAUACUUCAUAUCUAUGUGUAAGCUGAAAGUAACUAUGCACUCACUUGAAAAGGUGGUGAAUCUGAACUCAGACAGCGCUUCGCUUCUUAAAAAUAAUUUCCUUCGACGAAACCUAGUAUUAUUACCACUAGAGUUUAGUCUAUUAUUCGCCGAGACUAAUUAAUAGUCUAGCUAUUAUUACUAUUAUAUAAUCGUCAAACAAUACUUAUAUAUCCCAUAAUAAUAGCCCAAGUACUUAUUAUAAGUUCCUAAUAACGUUACUAUAAUUAAAUAAACGAUAUAUUAAAAAUAGCGUAGGCGUAGCUCACUUACAGCGGGUUUUAUAGAAAACCAGGCUUUGCUUUGACCAGAAUUCCCAAGCCGAAAAACUCUUCUUCUCGGAGCCUUCAAGCACUCCGGGGCUUCCGCCUCAUGCUAGGGAGGUUCCCUAGGCUUUUCGGGGGGUUUCGGGGCUAAAGAGAGGUUCUAGAGAGAGAUUAAAGAGAAGAAAGAAUGAGAAAGGUGUGAAGAAAAUGAGGGUGGGAGAGAUUCUAUUUAUAGGGUGAAAAUUGGCUGAACUUGGUGCCACAUGUCACCAUCUAGUGGCAAGACUUGGGGAG